rnacentral:rRNA from 1 species
CGAACGCUGGCGGCGUGCUUAACACAUGCAAGUCGAACGGAAAGGCCCUGCUUUUGUGGGGUGCUCGAGUGGCGAACGGGUGAGUAACACGUGAGUAACCUGCCCUUGACUUUGGGAUAACUUCAGGAAACUGGGGCUAAUACCGGAUAGGAGCUCCUGCUGCAUGGUGGGGGUUGGAAAGUUUCGGCGGUUGGGGAUGGACUCGCGGCUUAUCAGCUUGUUGGUGGGGUAGUGGCUUACCAAGGCUUUGACGGGUAGCCGGCCUGAGAGGGUGACCGGCCACAUUGGGACUGAGAUACGGCCCAGACUCCUACGGGAGGCAGCAGUGGGGAAUAUUGCACAAUGGGCGGAAGCCUGAUGCAGCAACGCCGCGUGCGGGAUGACGGCCUUCGGGUUGUAAACCGCUUUCGCCUGUGACGAAGCGUGAGUGACGGUAAUGGGUAAAGAAGCACCGGCUAACUACGUGCCAGCAGCCGCGGUGAUACGUAGGGUGCGAGCGUUGUCCGGAUUUAUUGGGCGUAAAGGGCUCGUAGGUGGUUGAUCGCGUCGGAAGUGUAAUCUUGGGGCUUAACCCUGAGCGUGCUUUCGAUACGGGUUGACUUGAGGAAGGUAGGGGAGAAUGGAAUUCCUGGUGGAGCGGUGGAAUGCGCAGAUAUCAGGAGGAACACCAGUGGCGAAGGCGGUUCUCUGGGCCUUUCCUGACGCUGAGGAGCGAAAGCGUGGGGAGCGAACAGGCUUAGAUACCCUGGUAGUCCACGCUGUAAACGGUGGGUACUAGGUGUGGGGUCCAUUCCACGGGUUCCGUGCCGUAGCUAACGCUUUAAGUACCCCGCCUGGGGAGUACGGCCGCAAGGCUAAAACUCAAAGGAAUUGACGGGGCCCCGCACAAGCGGCGGAGCAUGCGGAUUAAUUCGAUGCAACGCGUAGAACCUUACCUGGGUUUGACAUGGAUCGGGAGUGCUCAGAGAUGGGUGUGCCUCUUUUGGGGUCGGUUCACAGGUGGUGCAUGGCUGUCGUCAGCUCGUGUCGUGAGAUGUUGGGUUAAGUCCCGCAACGAGCGCAACCCUUGUUCACUGUUGCCAGCACGUUAUGGUGGGGACUCAGUGGAGACCGCCGGGGUCAACUCGGAGGAAGGUGGGGAUGACGUCAAGUCAUCAUGCCCCUUAUGUCCAGGGCUUCACGCAUGCUACAAUGGCUGGUACAGAGAGUGGCGAGCCUGUGAGGGUGAGCGAAUCUCGGAAAGCCGGUCUCAGUUCGGAUUGGGGUCUGCAACUCGACCUCAUGAAGUCGGAGUCGCUAGUAAUCGCAGAUCAGCAACGCUGCGGUGAAUACGUUCCCGGGGCUUGUACACACCGCCCGUCAAGUCAUGAAAGUUGGUAACACCCGAAGCCGGUGGCCUAACCGUUGUGGGGGAGCCGUCGAAGGUGGGACUGGUGAUUAG